UGCUAAUGGGCUGUGCUUACCUUGCAGAUGCCUGAGCAAGUGCAGCGCGAUGAGGAGGAUGCAGAGACCUUCGCCUUCCAGGCGGAGAUCGCCCAGCUCAUGUCGCUCAUCAUCAACACCUUCUACUCCAACAAGGAGAUCUUCCUGCGGGAGCUCAUCUCCAACGCCUCUGACGCACUGGAUAAGAUCCGCUAUGAGAGCCUGACUGACCCCUCAAAGCUAGACAGCGGUAAGGAUCUCAAGAUUGAUAUAGUCCCCAACCUCCGGGAGCGCACACUCACCUUGGUGGACACUGGCAUUGGGAUGACAAAAGCAGACCUCAUCAACAACCUGGGCACCAUUGCCAAAUCUGGAACCAAAGCCUUCAUGGAAGCCCUGCAGGCUGGUGCAGACAUUUCCAUGAUCGGACAGUUUGGUGUGGGUUUCUAUUCUGCUUAUUUAGUGGCUGAGAAGGUGGUUGUUAUUACCAAGCACAAUGAUGAUGAGCAGUAUGCUUGGGAGUCAUCAGCUGGGGGCUCCUUCACUGUCCGAACUGACCAUGGUGAGCCCAUUGGACGGGGCACCAAAGUGAUCCUGUAUUUGAAGGAGGACCAGACAGAGUACUUAGAGGAGCGGCGUGUCAAAGAGGUGGUGAAGAAGCACUCUCAGUUCAUUGGCUACCCCAUCACACUCUAUACUGAGAAAGAGCGUGAGAAAGAGAUCAGUGAUGAUGAGGCAGAGGAGGAGAAGGAUGAGAAGGAAGAGGACGAGUCAGUAUCCAAAGAUGAGGAGAAACCCAAAAUUGAGGAUGUGGGCUCUGAUGAGGACGAAGAGGAAAGAGGCAAAGGCAAGAAGAAGAUGACCAAGAAAAUCAAGGAGAAAUACAUUGACCAGGAGGAACUGAACAAGACCAAGCCUAUUUGGACACGCAACCCUGAUGACAUCACCCAGGAGGAGUAUGGCGAGUUCUAUAAGAGCCUUACCAAUGACUGGGAGGACCAUCUGGCUGUUAAGCACUUCUCUGUGGAAGGGCAGCUGGAGUUCAGGGCCCUGCUUUUCAUCCCACGCCGUGCCCCUUUUGACCUCUUUGAGAACAAGAAAAAGAAGAAUAACAUUAAGCUGUAUGUGAGGCGUGUCUUUAUCAUGGACAGCUGUGAUGAGCUCAUCCCUGAGUACCUAAACUUUAUCCGGGGUGUUGUGGACUCUGAGGACCUGCCUCUGAACAUCUCCCGUGAGAUGCUCCAGCAGAGCAAGAUCCUCAAGGUGAUCCGCAAAAACAUUGUGAAGAAGUGUUUGGAGCUCUUCUCCGAGCUGGCAGAGGAUAAGGAAAACUACAAGAAAUUUUAUGAGGCUUUUUCCAAGAAUCUGAAGCUGGGUGUCCACGAGGACUCGACCAACCGAAAGCGCCUUUCGGAGCUGCUGCGUUACCACACAUCCCAGUCAGGUGAUGAGAUGACUUCGCUUUCAGAGUAUGUGUCCCGUAUGAAGGACAACCAGAAGAGUAUCUACUACAUCACAGGGGAGAGUAAGGAGCAGGUUGCCAACUCAGCCUUUGUGGAACGCGUGCGGAAGCGUGGCUUUGAGGUGGUGUACAUGACAGAGCCCAUUGAUGAGUACUGCGUGCAGCAGCUCAAGGAGUUUGAUGGCAAGACCGUGGUAUCGGUCACCAAAGAGGGACUGGAGCUGCCUGAAGAUGAGGAGGAGAAAAAGAAGAUGGAGGAGAGCAAGGCCAAGUUCGAGACCCUCUGCAAACUCAUGAAGGAGAUCCUGGACAAGAAGGUGGAGAAGAGGAGCCGCUAAAGGAAACUGGAGAUCCCAGCAUGCACCAUCUUGCUCUAAGCAGCCAGGCUGCAGGCGAGGGGCACUGACCCAAAAACGUGCAUUGAUGGGAGAAGGUAACUGUCUCAAACCGGUUGGUCUCCUCUCCCUGCUGCAUUGUCACCAGCACCUACGGUUGGACAGCCAACAUGGAGCGCAUCAUGAAGGCUCAGGCACUGCGAGACAACUCUACCAUGGGCUAUAUGAUGGCCAAGAAGCACCUGGAGAUCAACCCUGACCACCCAAUUGUGGAAACCCUCCGUCAAAAGGCUGAUGCUGACAAGAAUGACAAAGCUGUCAAAGAUCUGGUGGUGCUACUCUUUGAGACUGCUCUGCUCUCCUCUGGCUUCUCCCUGGAGGAUCCACAAACCCACUCCAACCGCAUCUACAGGAUGAUCAAACUGGGACUUGGCAUUGAUGAAGAUGAGGUGAUUGCAGAGGUACCCAGUGCAGCUGCCCCUGAUGAAAUUCCUCCUCUGGAGGGAGAUGAAGAUACAUCCCGCAUGGAAGAGGUAGACUAAAGCAGGAGGAAGCCUCUUCCCUCACCUGCCAGGCCUCUGCCCGUUAUCAUUUCAUGUCUGCUUAGAAGAGAGGGUCUGCUGCCACCAGCUGCUACUGACUCCUUGGUGGUAUCUGUUUUCUUGGGUUUUCUUGUUAUUUUUGGCAGGGGUGCAGGAGGUCAUUCCCCAUUUCUCAAUAGUGAGUGAUUCAGACAGCCUGAGGCAUGUCUGUUCUGUGUCUCUCUGCUUGUGUAGGAACAGCUCCCAUCAACUGAUGGUGAGUGGAGGUGAGAAUGCAUCAGACUUCUCUGUCCCCACCAUGGGGUCUUCCAUAUUCCAAGUAGGCAUCAAACCUUGUUCUACUGGGGUGGGAGAGGCCUUUGAGCUGCUGCUUCCCUGAACCCCCAGGGUAGGAUGUUGUAUUUCAGUUAUGUUUUGUUUAUUUUUCUGGGGCUUUUUGUUCUUCUGAAAUUAAAAUAUUGAAGAAUGUGAUUUACCUA